GGAACAUACAAAGGAUUUAACUUGUCAACAGCCUUUAGAGCUAGAAGGAUGUGAUUCAAGUUGCUUGAUUCAUCUACGUAAAUCAGUACUCUAGACUACAUACCAUCUCAGUGCAGCAUUGAUCGCUACUUGGUGCUUGAAUCACUCAAAUAAUUAUGGAUUUAAGGGGUUCAACUAGCUCCUUACGAUUUCUCUUCUUGUAUGAUGGGCCCUAUUCAAAUAGAUUAAAAACAAUAAAUAUAUAUAGGUGCAGGAAGCAAAUAAAUAGCAGCUCUAAAGUCAGACUCAAAUUAAUUCGAUUAGAUCUCACAAAUACAUUGUUGGAUUUUGCUAUAUCUAUCAACUAGGUAAAGAAAAAUAAAUCAG
rnacentral:lncRNA from 1 species